rnacentral:tRNA from 1 species
GGGCCCAUAGCUUAGCCUGGUAGAGCGGUUGGCUCUUAACCAACAGGUCCAGGGUUCGAAUCCCUGUGGGCCCA